rnacentral:rRNA from 1 species
GGGCCCGCACAAGCGGUGGAGUAUGUGGUUUAAUUCGAUGCAACGCGAAGAACCUUACCAGGGUUUGACAUCCUGCGAAUCUCUUGGAAACAGGAGAGUGCCUUCGGGAACGCAGUGACAGGUGGUGCAUGGCUGUCGUCAGCUCGUGUCGUGAGAUGUUGGGUUAAGUCCCGCAACGAGCGCAACCCUCGCCGUUAGUUGCCAGCAGGUUUGGCUGGGCACUCUAACGGGACCGCCGGUGUUAAGCCGGAGGAAGGUGGGGAUGACGUCAAGUCCUCAUGGCCCUUACGGGUUGGGCUACACACGUGCUACAAUGGUAGUGACAAUGGGUUAAUCCCAAAAAGCUAUCUCAGUUCGGAUUGUCGUCUGCAACUCGACGGCAUGAAGUCGGAAUCGCUAGUAAUCGC